AAUAAAUUUAUUUCAUAAUGAAAAUUCAAGCUAAUGCCUAACAGUAAUUUUAUAUUAUUUUAAUAAAAAUAGUUUUACAGCAUACUAUUUUUAAUGAAUAUUUGCUACUGAUUUCUUAUGUCUUAUGCUAAGAUUAUUUGCUAAACAGUUGGCACAAAAUAUUCUUUUCACUCUUAGUUUUUCUUUAAUUUCCUUACUACUUUGAAGUCAUUACUCACAUGUACAUCCAUUUUGUGAUGUCCUAUACCAGGACUGUUCCCUGGAUCUGUCGGGGCGUAAGCAUAAAUAUUUUUCAAUAUUUUUGCUUGAAAAACUUCGAUACCUUCUUUAUGCCCAUCAACAUUAUGUCCCUCCGGUACCGUAGACACAAAGUUAUUCAAUGACAUCACUUUGAAAUGAUUUUUAUUUUCUGUUAUCUCCAACGGUCUUACUACUUUGAAGUCAUUACUCAGCUCUGGUGUAUGUACAUCCAUUUUGUGAUGUCCUAUACCAGGACUGUUCCCCGGAUCUGUCGGGGCGUAAGCAUAAAUAUUUUUCAAUAUUUUUGCUUGAAAAAGUUCGAUACCUUCCUUAUGCUCAUCAACAUUGUGUCCAACCGGUACCGUAGACACAAAGUUAUUCAAUGAUGUGACUUUGAAAUGAUUUUUAUUUUCUGUUAUCUCCAACGGUCUUGCUUCAGUAGUGGAUGGUACUUGGACAAAUACUAUUGAGAUGGCCAUAAUGGUCAUCAUGGUGAUAGUGAAGAGUUUCAUAGUCUUUCCACUUUGAAGAAGAUACAGGGCUAAAGGUUUUGAUAUGAGCAGUUAUGGUGAUAUUUGGAUUAAGUUGUCCAAAUGAGAUUAUAUUUAUACUGUAUAGACACUAGCCAAAUUGAUUGAGUUUGGAUCGGCCAUUCCCUUUUUUGGUCAAAUACAUUGAUAUUGGGUGGAACACAUUGAUAUUUUCUUGUCAAAAAUCUUGAUUUUUUAUUUUGUUCAACUAUACUGAGAUCUCUUACUAUUUUUGGACAUUUUUCAUUUUGGCCAUUGUUUUUUCAAUUAUGGUAGGUAGAUUUUGGACAUUCUAUCUAUCAAUCUAAGCACACUAUUAAUGAUAAUUAAAUAUACUAGAGAUUUUGUCCGGGCUACGCCCGGGUUUAUUCAAAUAAUAUUACUAUAUAUUACUUCUAUGUUAUAAAAAUAUAAAUAGAAAUUGAAUUACAAAUGAGUAAAAUUACAAUUUUUUUUAAAUCUAAACUAUGUAUGGAAUGGUGAACAAAUGCGAAAUAAAUAAAGAAUUUGUUAAACCUUAGCUAUUAUCCAAAAUAUCUUUUCUUACAUAUUUAGGUUAUUUAGAAAAUAUAUUUGUAAUCUCCACAUCACAUAUUUCUUUGUUUAAAUAAUCUAAUUGAAUUUAAAUUAUUCAUUUGAAGAGAACGUAAAAAAAUUUCAUCCCAGAUGAAUAUUUAUCUCUAAAAGAAAUAAUUUUUUUGAAUAUUUAAACAUUUUAAACUUUGAUGAUCAAUAAACUUGAUAUUGUGAUCUUCAAAUCUUGAAGCCAAAUUUUAUUUUGAAUAUGUAAAUUUAUUUGCUAUUUAAUAUGUAAGUUUAUCUAUUAUAUAAAACAUCUGUAAAAUAUCUUAGUAUGAAAUGUUUAGGGACUAACUACUUACACACACGUAAAAUAUAUUGGUAUCGUGUAGGUACUAUGUAUUCUAUAUUUUUGGUCUGAAUGUUCCAUCCUUGGCUUCUUUUCUUUCUGAUACAUACUAAAUAGUUAUAUACUCUGUGAUAAGAACCAUCAACGAAUGCACAAAUGUGUCAUAAAACUAUCUGGCUCAAACUUUGCAUUAAUUUUCAACAGACUCAAUCAAAUACUUUCCAUGAAGAAUGCAUAUAAAAACUUAUAAUAUUAUACAACAAAUAAUUGACUCACCUUUCUUGUUAUGCAUAUAAUAAGCAUCAUCUUGUUGACUUAUUGACUCUCUGGGAGCACAACAAAGCUCAGGAAGCAGAUUUUGUAUCAGUACUGAGCUCCAAGAGCUUGUCUCUAAUAGUAUGGAAUUCUUGAGUCUUUUUAGAUCUUCUUCAUUAACAUGUAUACCUGGCAAAGAUUCCAUACAUUUCUCGAUAUUCUCCACUUCACUAUCCUUAGAAUGUAACCCUCAUGGUUUUCUGCAUUUGUUGGGAAGCAAAAAGACCUGACACAUCAACUCAAAGAUCUUGUCCACUAUUAACAUAGUAUUUCUUCUAAUCCACUAUCCCUUUUUUCAAUACCUUGUUUCAGAUACCGUUCUCAAGAACCCAUACGUUCAUGUUUCCGUCCAUUCUUUGAAUCUCCUUUCUCAGAACGACCAGGUUCACCCAUGCUUUUAUCAUUUCCUUUAGCAGCGUCCUCAACAUUUUCUGUUAAAUCAACGGGCUCAUUAAGUUCUAUAGAUUCUCUAUAGAUGGCUUUAGCAUCUUCAACAACAGCUUUGACAGAGCGUGUUCUUCUGACUCUGGCUUUCCCUCUCAUGCGUGAUUGACCAUGAGCAGCUAUAUUAGACAAAGAAUCUACAUCAACUUCUUGACACUUGCUGUUGAUUUUGCUGUGAUCACCGUCUGAGUUCGCAUUGGCGACUUCAACUUCUCUGGUGUCGCUUUCAGAUUGGACCUGAAGCAUACUUCAAAGAUUCUUAAGUUGUCCCCAAUAAAAAUGGUAGAAUUUGGAUCAUCAACCAGAUGUAGAAAGAAAAAAGAAUGAGUUGAUCAUAUAUCUUCACUGGCUAGACUCAGAAUAUAAAAGACGACAAAGAAAGAAAGGAACUUGUUGACCUUGGUGCCAAACUUAACUUGCACAAUUGGAGGGACUGAGAUGUUAAAAUCACAGUGGAGAGAGUCUUCUUGGAUAUUCCCUUUACUCACUCACAAUCCAUUGCAUCUCACUGGUGUAUUACGUGCCUCCGAUCCCACUUCUCGUAUCAAGUUAAUAUUCCAUCUCGAGCAAAGGAACUCCUGCUCUGUUCAAAUCUACAUGCACCAUAAGGUUACCAAACAUAAAGAAACAAAAACAUCUUUGCAGGUCAUUGAAACCCAUAAAACCUAUUGUAUUUUCUUGAUCUCAUGGCUAAGCAUCACUGCAUGUUUUUUUUUGUGGCUUCUUCCAGACUUACCAUUUUUGCAGAUGAUGAUGAAUCUCCUCUAUUUGCUGUUUUAUUCCUGCAACAAUGUAACACGUUUCUCUAAAGACCGAACCUCAAAUGUAGAGUUCUAUGGCUAGCACUCAGUCUCACCAAUCACACCUUCUGUAUGCGUAGAAUCAGGGAUAGGAGAGAUCUGAGCCACAUAACCAACAUGAACUUGAAAAUUGACGUCUCCAAAGUUUUCUGUUAAAGUACAAAUUAAAAAGUGGGAAAUUUUAAACUUUAAGACACAAACUUCGCCACAGCCAACACAGAUUUUGGAACUACCCCGUGAUCUAGACAUGAUUCAUCAGUUUGGUCUAGCGUUUUCUUAAAUCCGGAACAGUGGCUUGUACCAUAAUCUAACAAUCACAAUGAAAUCAAUCUUCAACUAAAAGAAGACCAGGAAAGAGGAGAAUAAGGAAGUAGUAGGGUACCUCUUUGGAGUCGUGGAGACAAUUGAAGUAAUCUUCAAGAAGAAGAGAGAUGUACUUCGGAUCUCUACAGUAAGACAUCAUUCACUGAAUUCCAUCCAGAAAUCAUAUCUCCCUUCCCAACUCCUUUUCUCGAAGGAGAUUACAGAGAGAAUGAUGCUGGGAAGAAGAAUUGAUCUGAAGGAUAAAUACAUGAUCCAAAUAAUUUAAGGAAAAUGAAUCUUCGUGUUGACAAAGAGAUGAGAAUUAGAAACGUAAAGCAUUUAUUAAAACAGAUGAAAUUUAUGAUGAUUUCUAGAUCAGACGGUAGCGCAACUGGGUUUCGUGGGGACCUGGUGAGAUAUCUUUGAAGAACAUAACUUCCUGAUCAUUGCCCGAGGAGACAGGUGACUUGCCGUUUGGUUUCAUGGCCAUGGUUUUGGUUUGUAGUAAGUGAAGAAAAACAAUAUAUAAAGGAGAAAAAGAAAAAGAGGGAGAUGAAACGAAUUCAUUAAGAGAGAGUAUUGAUUGACAUGAGUAAAGAAGAGAAUUGAUUGAUAAGAAGUGGAUCGAUUAGAACUGAGUGAGUUUGUAUGAUCUUCAAUCGGAGAAGACGAAGUGGUGGAGGUUAGUUGAUACGAUUGAUGCAUCAUUCCUAGGUUUGGGUUUCUGAAUAAGCUCAUACGUUGAAGCCCACAUGAAGAAGGGAAUGGAUCAAUAUGGGCUUAAGGCUAAAUAACACUUCUUACACGGUUAAGCGCAUCACUGCAUGUUUUUUUUUGUGGCUUCUUCCAGACUUACCAUUUUUGCAGAUGAUGAUGAAUCUCCUCUAUUUGCUGUUUUAUUCCUGCAACAAUGUAACACGUUUCUCUAAAGACCGAACCUCAAAUGUAGAGUUCUAUGGCUAGCACUCAGUCUCACCAAUCACACCUUCUGUAUGCGUAGAAUCAGGGAUAGGAGAGAUCUGAGCCACAUAACCAACAUGAACUUGAAAAUUGACGUCUCCAAAGUUUUCUGUUAAAGUACAAAUUAAAAAGUGGGAAAUUUUAAACUUUAAGACACAAACUUCGCCACAGCCAACACAGAUUUUGGAACUACCCCGUGAUCUAGACAUGAUUCAUCAGUUUGGUCUAGCGUUUUCUUAAAUCCGGAACAGUGGCUUGUACCAUAAUCUAACAAUCACAAUGAAAUCAAUCUUCAACUAAAAGAAGACCAGGAAAGAGGAGAAUAAGGAAGUAGUAGGGUACCUCUUUGGAGUCGUGGAGACAAUUGAAGUAAUCUUCAAGAAGAAGAGAGAUGUACUUCGGAUCUCUACAGUAAGACAUCAUUCACUGAAUUCCAUCCAGAAAUCAUAUCUCCCUUCCCAACUCCUUUUCUCGAAGGAGAUUACAGAGAGAAUGAUGCUGGGAAGAAGAAUUGAUCUGAAGGAUAAAUACAUGAUCCAAAUAAUUUAAGGAAAAUGAAUCUUCGUGUUGACAAAGAGAUGAGAAUUAGAAACGUAAAGCAUUUAUUAAAACAGAUGAAAUUUAUGAUGAUUUCUAGAUCAGACGGUAGCGCAACUGGGUUUCGUGGGGACCUGGUGAGAUAUCUUUGAAGAACAUAACUUCCUGAUCAUUGCCCGAGGAGACAGGUGACUUGCCGUUUGGUUUCAUGGCCAUGGUUUUGGUUUGUAGUAAGUGAAGAAAAACAAUAUAUAAAGGAGAAAAAGAAAAAGAGGGAGAUGAAACGAAUUCAUUAAGAGAGAGUAUUGAUUGACAUGAGUAAAGAAGAGAAUUGAUUGAUAAGAAGUGGAUCGAUUAGAACUGAGUGAGUUUGUAUGAUCUUCAAUCGGAGAAGACGAAGUGGUGGAGGUUAGUUGAUACGAUUGAUGCAUCAUUCCUAGGUUUGGGUUUCUGAAUAAGCUCAUACGUUGAAGCCCACAUGAAGAAGGGAAUGGAUCAAUAUGGGCUUAAGGCUAAAUAACACUUCUUACACGGUUAAGCUUAUCCGAUGUGUCAAAACACAGGUUCAUGAUUGGUCCGAAUUUUUUAUCCAACGUGGACAGUCUCUAUACCUAGCUUAUUUUACUUUUAGUAUAGUAUAGAUUGUAUAAAUAAUAAAAAAAUAUAUUAAUGAAUUUCAAAGGCAAUAUUUCAACUGCUUCCAUCAUUUUUCUCCUUUUUAAUUGUUUUUUUUUGUGUGGCUCACAAGAGAGCAAAACACAUCACACUCACAUUCUAAGCUACACUAGAGAUUGAUCCGCACACCCAUACGGGUGUUGAAUUUUAUUUUUUUAUAAAUUGAUAUUCAUUUUUCAUAAUUAAUGUUAAGUAUUUUAUGUGUCACCACCAUAUAAAUAAUUUUAUCUUGGUUAUUUGAAUAUUUUAGGUUCCUAUACAUUAGAAUCAAAUCAAAUAGUAUGAUUAAUUUUCCUUAUUUGGUUAUUUUAGGUUAUUCUUAGUUUUGAUACAAAAUAGCAGAACUGAAUUGGAUAAUAUGGUUACUUUUGGUAUAAAUAUCCAAACUCAUUUCAGAUACAUUAGUGUUUUUAUAAUUUAAUUUCAUAUUUAUUAGAACCAAAUCUAUCUGGACUUGAGAGGACCCAACUCGAAACGUAUCGAAAUUUUAUAAUACUCCAACGAAGUUUAACUUCAAAACUCAAAAAACAUGAUAUCCAGAAAAAUGAUAUGUAACGAAACGGAUACUCAAAUAUACAUACCUAACUAAUUUCGUAAAUAAAUUAAAAAACUCUUUCUUAACCGUUUUAAAUUCUUGUCACAAAUAGAAAAAUUUCAAUCAAACAUGUCAAAUUAUUAUGGUUAACAUGAAAAAUUAAUGUUGUCGAAUUAUUAUAGUAAAAACAAUUAAUGAAAUAGUUAAUAAUAGUGAAAGAGAGAAUGUAAAAAUAUAAUAAAACACUUAAAAUAGGUCAUUCUGUUUCGUAAUUCCGUAAAAAUGCUGUCUGAUUAUUUAGAAAAAAUAAUAAUAAACAAAGUGGUUCUAAUUAGUUAAAAGAAUGAAAAUCUGUAAGAAAUCACUUAAAAAUAAGAAUGUAUUGUUUGGUAUUUCAGUUUUAAUAGAAUAGAUUAUUAUUAACCAAACUUUCUAACUGGUUAAACCAAACAAAAAUCUAAUUUUAAUCAAACUCGGGUUAUUUAUCCAUUUAUUAUUUUCUUCUUCACUAGAUUUGUGAAAGAAGAACGUGAUCCGCAGGUCGUGUCCAAACAGUUCAAUAGCAGAACGGGUGUGUACAUAUUUAUACAACCUACAAUUUGUUGUGGGACGACCACACAUACAAAAAGAAAAUCAAUUCUAAUAUGGGUUGGAAUACUUGAACGCGGACUAGUACGCUUGAAAUUUCUUAAACCAAGAAUUUAGACGGAAAAAUAGUAAUAUACAAAAUAUCUAUAUAUAUAAUAUAUAUAUAUCCAUAAAUAUUUUUUUAAACUCUGAACUGAUUAAAAUAGAAAUGAAAAAUAUAGAAAAACAAGAACAUACAAGACACCAAAAGAAAAUCACAAAUCAUAUCUGUACAAGACAAAUGAGGUUUUAUUGUUCUUUUAGAGACUAGAAUAUAAUUCUAUGAGAAAAAAAAGAAGCAAAUUUUCGAAGCAAAUAUUUAAUACAUUUACAUUUUCGUAAUUUGUAUCAGGUAAUUUCAUAGGUUUAUGGAAGAUCUUUACAUUUUGUUUCUAAAUUAUUUGUAAUUAUUCUUACUUAUUUUAAUUUGUGAACAUAAAUAAAUAAUUGAAAUAAAAAAGAUUAUUGUAAUUUUGAUUUUCUAUUACUUUUUAUUAUUUUUUUUAAGUGAAAGUUUUUCAAAAAAAUACAAAUCGUUUCCACAGAAAAUUCCAUGAUUUUUUUUUAUGAGUCACAUUCAUUGUAAAUUGAAGGCAAAUUGAAAUGUCUCACAUCUCUAUUCUUCACCUGUCGCAUAAGCUAGUUAGCAAGGGAUUUACCUUUUUCAUUAGCUUUGUUAAAAAAAAAUUCAACAUGCUUGGUAAUGACUUAAGUAUGUGACAUAAGAAAAAUAAUAAUCAUAAGCAUGCCUAAACGAAUAAAAGAAUAGAAGAUUAUAAAAAUCAAUUCCAAGAUCAGAGAACUGAGAAUGACUGUCCUCUGAGUUGGCUCACCAUGACUAGCCCAAGUUUAUUCAUAUGUGUAAUUCCAUUGUGAAAAUAGAAAACAUCGUAGUUUACAAAAAAAAAACACAUAGUCCGAGUUCAAAUAUAUAUCGUAAUCUCAGCAAACAUAGGGCACAUCACAGGGAAGAGGAAAUAUAAAAUAACAUCAAAGACUAGUUAAGGUUUAAUUUAUUAGAUUUGAGUAUUUAUUUUAAUUAGAUUUAUCAAAAAUAAAUAAAUUAUUGAUGCUAUUACAAAUAAUAGUAAUUGUGAUAGAAAAAAAUAUUUUUAUAAUUUUAUAAAGUGAUAGUAUAAAAGGUGUAUUUCUAACAAAUUAUCUUAACGCAUAUAGUUAUAGAACUCUAAAUAACAACUUUAACAUUUAUCCAAAAUUUAACAUCUUUAUAUUGCAAAUUUUGAUUUAACAACAAAUUUAUUUCAUAAUGAAAAUUCAAGCUAAUUCCCAACAGUAAUUUUAUAUUAUUUUAAUAAAAAUAGUUUUACAUCAUAUUAUUUUUAAUGAAUAUUUGCUACUGAUUUCUUAUGUCUUAUGCUAAGAUUAUUCGCUAAACAGUUGGCACAAAAUAUUUUUUUCACUCUUAGUUUUUCUUCAAUUUUCUUACUACUUUGAAGUCAUUACUCAGCGCUGGUGCAUGUACAUCCAUUUUGUGAUGUCCUAUACCAGGACUGUUCCCUGGAUCUGUCGGAGCGUAAGCAUAAAUAUUUUUCAAUAUUUUUGCUUGAAAAACUUCGAUACCUUCCUUAUGUCCAUCAACAUUAUGUCCCUCCGGUACCGUAGACACAAAGUUAUUCAAUGACAUGACUUUGAAAUGAUUUUUAUUUUCUGUUAUCUCCAACGGUCUUACUACUUUGAAGUUAUUACUCAGCUCUGGUGCAUGUACAUCCAUUUUGUGAUGUCCUUUACCAGGACUGUUCCCCGGAUCUGUCGGGGCGUAAUCAUAAAUAUUUUUCAAUAUUUUUUCUUGAAAAAGUUCGAUACCUUCCUUAUGCCCAUCAACAUUGUGUCCAACCGGUAUCGUAGACACAAAGUUAUUCAAUGACGUAACUUUGAAAUGAUUUUUAUUUUCUGUUAUCUCCAACGGUCUUGCUUCAGUAGUGGAUGGUACUUGGACAAAUACUAUUGAGAUGGCCAUAAUGGUCAUCAUGGUGAUAGUGAAGAGUUUCAUAGUCUUUCCACUCUGAAGAAGAUACAAGGCUAAAGGUUUUGAUAUGAGCAGUUAUGGUGAUAUUUGGAUUAAGUUGUCCAACUGAGAUUAUAUUUAUACUGUAUAGACACUAGCCAAAUUGAUUGAGUUUGGAUCGGCC
rnacentral:lncRNA from 1 species